AAUAAGUGUGCAUAUGUGCAUUGUGAAGAGAGGAGUGCGUAUACAUAAGGAGAGAUAGAGUAGGCAACUCUAUUUUAUUUUCUUGCUGGAAGCAUUAUUGUGAUGGAAAGAGAUUGAGAAAAAAAAAAAAGAGUAUGGCUUCAUAUUUGUUUGGGCAAACCCAUGAGAGAGAGAGAGAGAACGAAUGAACCGAGAGAAAGAAGGAAGCAAUUUCAACUUAAGAAGAAGGAAAACUAAGGGAAGAGAAGUUUGGAGGAACAAGGGAAUUAGAAGGGAAUCAACUAAACUUCUUGAGAUUAAAGUUUAAGGGUCAAGCGCAGGGACGAAUCAAGCACCAAAACACUGUGAUCAGGCGUGUGACCAGGCUUAAAGGCAUCUGCCUGGAAUCUGUUUUUGUCAGCCAACCUAUGUGCCUCUCGUGGAGGUUCCGGAUAUGUCAAGUGGCUACGGCUAUGUGAUUUAAAGUCUAAGUUUUGUUUUCUUAUUUGGUUAAACAAGUCUUGUGUAUUUUGUAAAUAGGGCUAAGUCUCUUUUUGUUUAAUCUGUAUUUAUAUAAUGACGUAAGGAUGAUAUGUAUAUAUGUACAUAAAAAGUUUAAAAAAUUUUUGUCUCAUAUAAAUCUGCACAGUUCAAUGAACGUUGUAUAUUUGUUAUUUGCUUCCGCUAG